AUAGUGAACCAGUACCGUGAGGGAAAGGCGAAAAGAACCCCGGCGAGGGGAGUGAAAAAGAACCUGAAACCGUGUACGUACAAGCAGUGGGAGCACAGGUUUACCUGUGUGACUGCGUACCUUUUGUAUAAUGGGUCAGCGACUUAUAUUCUGUAGCAAGGUUAACCGAAUAGGGGAGCCGGAGGGAAACCGAGUCUUAAUUGGGCGUUAAGUUGCAGGGUAUAGACCCGAAACCCGGUGAUCUAGCCAUGGGCAGGUUGAAGGUUGGGUAACACUAACUGGAGGACCGAACCGACUAAUGUUGAAAAAUUAGCGGAUGACCUGUGGCUGGGGGUGAAAGGCCAAUCAAACCGGGAGAUAGCUGGUUCUCCCCGAAAGCUAUUUAGGUAGCGCCUCGUGAAUUCAUCUCCGGGGGUAGAGCACUGUUUCGGCUAGGGGGCCAUCCCGGCUUACCAACCCGAUGCAAACUGCGAAUACCGGAGAAUGUUAUCACGGGAGACACACGGCGGGUGCUAACGUCCGUCGUGAAGAGGGAAACAACCCAGACCGCCAGCUAAGGUCCCAAAGUCAUGGUUAAGUGGGAAACGAUGUGGGAAGGCCCAGACAGCCAGGAUGUUGGCUUAGAAGCAGCCAUCAUUUAAAGAAAGCGUAAUAGCUCACUGGUCGAGUCGGCCUGCGCGGAAGAUGUAACGGGGCUAAACCAUG
rnacentral:rRNA from 1 species